rnacentral:tRNA from 1 species
AUAGGUAUGCUGGAAUUGGUAGACAGGUUCCGCUUAGGACGGAAUGGUUUUAUAACUGUGCAAGUUCAAAUCUUGUUACCUAUAC